GAUGAACGCUGGCGGCGUGCUUAACACAUGCAAGUCGAACGGAAAGGCUCCUGCUUGCCGGGGUACUCGAGUGGCGAACGGGUGAGUAACACGUGGGUGAUCUGCCCUGCACUUCGGGAUAAGCCUGGGAAACUGGGUCUAAUACCGGAUAGGACGAUGGGUUGGAUGCCAUUGUGGAAAGUUUUUCGGUGUGGGAUGAGCUCGCGGCCUAUCAGCUUGUUGGUGGGGUAAUGGCCUACCAAGGCGUCGACGGGUAGCCGGCCUGAGAGGGUGUACGGCCACAUUGGGACUGAGAUACGGCCCAGACUCCUACGGGAGGCAGCAGUGGGGAAUACUGCACAAUGGGCGGAAGCCUGAUGCAGCGACGCCGCGUGGGGGAUGACGGCCUUCGGGUUGUAAACUCCUUUCGCUAGGGACGAAGCGCAAGUGACGGUACCUGGAGAAGAAGCACUGGCUAACUACGUG
rnacentral:rRNA from 1 species